rnacentral:rRNA from 1 species
UACGGGGGGGGGCAAGCGUUGUUCGGAAUUACUGGGCGUAAAGGGCUCGUAGGUGGCCAACUAAGUCAGACGUGAAAUCCCUCAGCUUAACUGGGGAACUGCGUCUGAUACUGGAUGGCUUGAGUUUGGGAGAGGGACGCGGAAUUCCAGGUGUAGCGGUGAAAUGCGUAGAUAUCUGGAGGAACACCGGUGGCGAAGGCGGGUCG